rnacentral:rRNA from 1 species
UCGUCAGCUCGUGUCGUGAGAUGUUGGGUUAAGUCCCGCAACGAGCGCAACCCCCGUCCCUAGUUGCCACCAGCUCGGCUGGGCACUCUAGGGAGACUGCCCGGGAAACCGGGAGGAAGGCGGGGAUGACGUCUGGUCCGCAUGGCCCUUACGGCCUGGGCUACACACGCGCUACAAUGGGCAGGACAAAGCGCCGCAACCCGGCAACGGGAAGCUAAUCGCUAAAACCUGCCCCCAGUUCGGAUUGGGGUCUGCAACUCGACCCCAUGAAGCCGGAAUCGCUAGUAAUCGCGGAUCAGCUACGCCGCGGUGAAUACGUUCCCGGGUCUUGUACACACCGCCCGUCACGCCAUGGAAGUGGGUCCCACCUGAAGUCGCCCCUAGCCCGCUAACGGGCAGGCGCCUAGGGUGGGGCCCACGACUGGGGCGAAGUCGUAACAAGGUAGCUGUACCGGAAGGUGCGGCUGGAUCACCUCCUUUCUAAGGAG